rnacentral:rRNA from 1 species
UACGUAGGCAGCAAGCGUUGUUCGGAGUUACUGGGCGUAAAGGGUGUGUAGGCGGUUGUUUAAGUUUGGUGUGAAAUCUCCCGGCUCAACCGGGAGGGUGCGCCGAAUACUGAAUAACUAGAGUGCGGGAGAGGAAAGUGGAAUUCCUGGUGUAGCGGUGAAAUGCGUAGAUAUCAGGAGGAACACCGGUGGUGUAGACGGCUUUCUGGACCAUAACUGACGCUGAGACACGAAAGCGUGGGUAGCAAACAGG